GAAGUACCUCUAAACUGUAGGGUUGGAGGGCAAGGUACUAUCUCAUAAUCCUUAGUGUCUUUUAUAGAAUGGAACCAUCGGAAGGAUGCGUGAUCUGUGAUGAGCCUGAAGUGGUUCCCAAGCAGGUAGUAUUGUAGUGCUUUAACGGCCCAUUUCACAGCCUCUUUCUCAAUCGUUGAGUACCUGGUCUCACGAGGGUACUUCCUACUCUGGUAAAGUACCGGUUGUUCCUCUCUGUCAUGCUCCUGUGAUAGGACAGCUCCCAGGCCUACCUCUGAAGCGUCGGUCUGGAGUAUAAACCUUUUUGCAAAAUCUGGGUGAAAAAGGACUGGCUCCCGACUUGGGUUGGGAAUUUUUCGUCAGGUCUGUUAGGGGUGCUGCUAAUGUGGCAAACUCCGGAACAAAGCAUCUGUAGUAGCCAGCCAGACCUAGAAACUGUCUCACCUGCCUCUUGGUCAUGGGGGUUGGACUAACCUUCAGGGCUUGGACCUUAUCCAUGAGUGGGCACAGCUUCCCCCGCCUCACCAUGUACCCCAGAUAUGUUACCUCCUUUUGCCCUAGGUGACACUUGGAGGGCUUGGCCAUCAAUCCGGCUUCUCCAAGAACUUGCAGCACAGUGGUGAGGUGUCUAAGAUGGUCCUCCCAGUUGGUACUCUAUUUCACUAUAUCGUUGAUAUAGGUGGCCGCAUAUUGCUCAUGUGGCCGCAGUACCUGGUCCAUAAGCCUCUGAAAGGUCACAGCAGCCCCAUGUAGACCAAAUGGCGUGGUCGUAAAUUGGAAGAGGCCGAAUGGUGUGGAGAAGACUGUCUUCCCCGUGAUGCUGGAGUCAGGGGAAUUUGCCAGUAUCCUUUUGUGAGAUCGAGCAUAGAUCUGAACUUGGCACUCCCCAACUGUUCCAGCCACUCAUAUACCCGUGGCAUAAGAUAUGCAUCAAACCUGGAGAUUUAAUUUAUUUUCCAAAAAUCUAUGCAGAACCUCGUGGACCUGUCUGGCUUGGGAACAAGGAUGAUAGGACUCCUCCACUCGCUAUGGGAUUUCUCAAUGACCCCCAAGGCUAAUACCACCUCAAGUUCCUCCUUUCUGAUCCUCCAAAUCUUCCAGGGCAACGGUUGGUGAUGAUCCCGCACCUUCUGUCCUGGGCUGGUGGCUAUGUGAUGAUACACCAUCUUUGUCCGUCCAGGAUCUCAUGAAGGAGGUCAAGGAUCCCCCUGGAUUGUCUUCCAUACAACAGUUCAAAUGGGGAGAACCCCGUGAAUGCUUGUGGUACCUCCCGUAUCACAAACAGCAAGGCAGGUCCCAAGGGAACUGGCACAUCUGUGUCACCUUGUUCCUGUCUGUAUCGGUGGUGAGGCAGCAGAAUCGUGCAGCAUAGGAGGCUAUGGUGCCUACCCCUGUGAGAGCUUCCUUAGGACAGCCUCUGCCAUUUGAACUUGGUGCAGAUAAUACCAACAUGCCUUGGAUGAAGACCUCCCAGGUCGAGAGUACCGGACUGUGACACUCCAAGCAGCGGGAGGCCCAGUCUAACGCUGCCCUAGGCAGCAGGCUGAUAACUGGGCUCACCUUUGCAUGAUCAGUAAUAUAGGACUAAGGGUGCAUCAUAGGCACCAACUCCGUGGGCACUCUGGGGCUGGAUCAAGCAUAGAAAAAAAAUAGUGAGUGCUCAGCACCCUCUGGCAGCCCCGGGGAACAGCUUCUCCCCCUCCUCUCCAGCCCUCCUGCCCACUGGCAGCCCCCGCUGAGCAGUGCCUCCCCCUCCCUCCCAGCACCUACCGCCCGCUGCGAUCAACUGUCAGCGGGAGGGGGAGGAGCAGGGACAGGAAGAGGUGGGGGAAGGGGUGGAGUGGGGGCAGGGCCUGAGGAGGAGUGCAGUUCCAGCACCUCCCGGGAACUGGGGAAGUUGGCGUCUCUAGAUGACACUGGUUUGUAAAACGCUGGAGUCGCUGGUGAUUGCUAUCAAACCAUUCCGGCGGAUGUACUGGGGAACAGGACUCCAUGAGCUGUGUCUGGAGUGCGUUGUUUUCAGCAAGCAAUUGUGUGACUUGCUCCUGAGGUCAGCCGGAUGACCCAGGUCUGGAGGACUUGGUUGUCUGCCUGAAGGUGGGUAGCCCGAAGGGUUAGCCAGGUCUAUUCUAUUGGCACCGGGCCCACUUCUGUGGCCUACAUGGUCCAUGCAAGUUGUCAUGAUAGGGACAUAGACAGUGGUCAGAGCAGGGGGUGGGAGUCAGGCCGGGUCAAGUACCAGGAGGUCAGAGUCUGAGGGAGCUCAGAGGGCAAAACCCAGAGUCGGGAUGCAGGCAGGGUCAGAAUACCAGGAGACUAGGAGCAGGUAUUGCAGGGGAAGCAGGCCGCCUGAGCAGGGAGAACCCACUUGCACAGACAACUUCCUGUUCCUGUGCUGGGUAUAAAGAGAAGCUGUGAAUCAGUCAGGACCCCCAGCAUCCCACCAGUCAGCUUCUGGGACUGGAGUCCUCUGUCAGAGUUCAGCUCCUAUUCUGGCAACUGUUAGCAGGUCACUGGAUAGCAGGUUGGAAUUUACUAGCACUGAGGAGCCCUGAGGACACAGAAUAUUAAGCAACUCCUCCAAUGUCAACAAUGAUGUCUGUGGCAGCACGUGAAUUAGAACACAAAGUCUCCUGCCUUUAGGGUUGCUAAUUUUGGUUGGACUAUUCCUGGAGGUUUCAUCACACAGCAUAAUCUUUAAUUAAAGGUUAAUCUUUAAUUCCUAGAGACCCCAGGACAAUCCGGCAGGGUUGGCAACCCUACCUGCCUUAAUAUACUCACUGAACCAUAAGAUUUCCCUUUGAAGCUUCCUUCAUUACUGUUACUCUUAUGUCUUUCACUUUUGGAGUCUUCAUCCCCCUAUUGUUAUGGCAGCAUGUAACAGUUUGUUCAUGCAUUUGGGUGCGCCUACAGCUAGGAAUCAUGACGCUUAGCACAACAGACUAAGACAGAACAGACUUUACUAGUGAUAUGCUCCACUUUUAAAUCAAACAAUCACAGCUGACAAUAAGCAUUUCCUAAGAGCUAACUCCUUAUAUAUUGAGAUGAAUGGAAAUUAUAGCACUCUCUACAAUAGUGCCUUCUAGUGACUUCCAGUAAUACUUCAAUCCUGUAAUUUGCCACUGAUUUUGGUCGUCACCAAUGGGGCAGCAAUCUCAGACACAAGACUGGCCAUCAGGGAGAAGAAAAAGCUUCUCUUCCUCCCUUCAAAUAGUGCUAGAGAACCACAAAAGCAAACAUUAGCAGGACUGCAAGGUGAGGAAAUGUUUUUCUCUGCCCCAACAAAAGCCUUAGGUGAAAGUAGGGGGACCCCAGCCUGGGGAGUUGAGUCCACAACCCCAUUGAUGUCUCAGUUAAUCCAUCCAGCCAUCAAUAAACCUACAGUUCAGAGAGCUGCUGAAAAUGAAUCCUGUUUUGCUUCAUCAAUACAGUAUUCAUGUGCGUGAAUGAGACUUUCCUGCCUAUGGAAAUUGCCUUUAAAUUUAUAUCAAACAUUUGGAGCAAGAGUAUUUGGCAUUUUUGGGAACCAUUAUAAUUUUGUUGUCAUUACUUAUGCCCUAAAACAUCUUGUUAAAUCUAUACAGUUAUUUAAGAUGACAUUUAUAGGGUUUGUUUAACCCCAAACCUCUCUGGUUUCUCUUAUCUCUAGUGCUCUGUGGAAAUUGCGGAAUUAUUUACUUUGGCAGAUUCUCUUCACUAGAUAGGACCAUGUUCAUAAACAUGUUCUAUCACUAAGUAGACCUAGGCUUCAGUGGUCUGUUUGGGCAUAGGAGCUCCUCAGAGCUACUACAUGACAUCUUAGGAUAUGGAAACAUACAAUAUGAAGGCAUGAAGCUCCUAAUCUAUUAAUGCCUCCUGCAGUAGAAAACAUUUGAUCAUAUGAGAUGCAUUCACUUAGCCAUGCCAUGUGUCAGAAAAAUAAUUCAUUUCAUCACUGUAUUAGUAAAAAUAAAUAAGGCUCAGGCCAAGUUCAACAGGCUAAAGUUACAGAUAAGGUGGCAUACUGCCUAGGCAAAAGACAUCUCACAAUGAAGGACAAACUACCCGUGACAGAACUCAGAUUUGUAUGUCUCUGGCUGCCUAUUAAAUGCAUCACUUAAUGGUAGCUCCUGUGAAUGCUACUUUCUUCCUGACACAUUAUACAUUCAUAGAAUCAUAGAAAUAUAAGGCUGGUGAGGACCUCAAGAAAUCAUCAAGUCCAACCUCCUUCAAUGCGGCAGGACCAAGUAAAU